UCACCAACAAUUUGCCCCAUUAGAAGAUUUUGGCACCCGUCCCAACCAUCUGUGGUCAUUUCGCUUUGUUGACGGUUCCCAUCUUGAAAGAAUUGUGUUAGACAAAACAUUUCUAUCAAUAGUGUUCCCCACUUUCCCCCUUCUCCCUCGUCGCACCAGAGCACCUUAGUUUGGUUCUCGCUCCCUUUCCAUGGCUAUCUUUCGCUCCACAUAAGCAGGGACUCCCCCUACCAGGACACAUGCGAGGGCUUCGGCAGAAAAACACAAAGAGACCCCCUUGUGAUUCUCCAAAUAAGAGAGCAAUACAUGUCCCUCGACGUUUCACGCAAUUAUCCCGAUGCCGAAUCAAAACGACGACUAUCAUACGCUCUUUUAAACUUAACUUUAUUGAUUGACCCAUAAGGACCACUCCAUUUCACCUCUCUUAAUCCCUAUGUAAUUCUCCUUUUAUCUAUUCCCUCCAGUUUAGUACAAUAAUGGGUAAUGAACCAAGCAAUAUCCCAACCAAUACUAAUUUUCCGAUCAUGAAUUCUGGCAUUUCUGUCACUCCAGAUGGCCCAAAGCGCAACACAAACUACUUGCCUCUGCUGAUUCAAGUACACUCUGAAUACCCAGGACAAUCUUGAAAUAAGUGGUCCAAAUUCUCAGCGCCUCCUCCACAUAGGGGACAAGUUAUAAUAGAUAUCAAUUUCCUAACUUGCAUAUUUACUACAGUAGGUAAAAAGUUUCAAGAAAUCUGCCACAGUGUAAUUUUAAUUCUAGAAGGGAGGUUUAAGCUCCAAAGUUGUUUGUAGAAGUUCCUGUAGUUGGUCUAUAAAGCAUAAGCAUUAGGAUUAUCGGGAAAAUUUUGUAAUAGUUUAUUGGCAUUACAUACUGAAAACUCCCCCGAGGGCUCAUCACUCCAUACAAUCAGGUUAUCGUGAACUUUCAUCACCAAAGGUGUACGAAGGAUCCUAGUCGUGUCCACUUCUGGGAAGGUAUUGACUACUAACUCCUUUUUCCAUGUUUUAGUAUAAACAUUUAUAAGAUUUGCCACUUUCAAAUUUUGUAUGCAAGGAAUAGAACAAGAUAAUCUAUAGUUAUCAGGCCCCGA